UGUAUUAGAUUGGUCAAAAAGUUCAUUCAGGUGUUUUUGUAAGAUGUCAUGGAAAAAUCCAAAUGAACUUUUGGCCAACCCAAUAU
rnacentral:miRNA from 1 species